rnacentral:tRNA from 1 species
GUCCAUGUGGCGAAACUGGCAAACGCAGCGGUCUCAGAUACCGUGCCGAGAGGCAUUGAGGGUUCGAUUCCCUCCGUGGACA